UCCUGGGGUACAGGAAAAGUGCAGAGG
rnacentral:piRNA from 1 species